rnacentral:rRNA from 1 species
GAUGAACGCUGGCGGCGUGUCUAAGGCAUGCAAGUCGAAUGGUCUGGUUUCCAGACCAUGGCAAACGGGAGAGUAACACAUUGGUAAUUUACCCCAAAGACGAGGAUAAUUCAGAGAAAUCUGGGAUAAUACUCGAUAUUAUGCGCUAUCAUAUGAUAGCUCAUCAAAGCUCCGGCGCUUUGGGAGAAGCCUAUGGUCUAUCAGCUAGUUGGUGAGGUAAUGGCUCACCAAGGCAACGACGGAUAGCGGGUGUGAGAGCAUGGCCCGUCUCACUGGGACUGAGACACUGCCCAGACUCCUACGGGAGGCUGCAGUCAAGAAUAUUCCUCAAUGGCCGAAAGGCUGAAGGAGCGACGCCGCGUGUAUGAUGACGCCUUUCGGGGUGUAAAAUACUUUUAACCGGGACGAAAUACUGACGGUACCGGUUGAAUAAGGGGCUGCUAACCUCGUGCCAGCAGCAGCGGUAAUACGAGGGCCCCAAGCGUUAUCCGGAUUUAUUGGGCGUAAAGAGUGUGUAGGCGGUUUAUAACAUCUCCUGUUAAAUCUCAAGGCUCAACCUUGAGGCCGCGGGAGAUAUGGAUAAACUAGAGUUCGGAAGAGGCAAGUGGAAUUGCUGGUGUAGGGGUUAAAUCCGUUAAUAUCAGCAGGAACACCAAAAGCGAAGGCAGCUUGCUGGGACGAUACUGACGCUGAGACACGAAAGCGUGGGGAGCGAAUG